rnacentral:rRNA from 1 species
GAUGAACGCUAGCGGAAGGCUUAAUACAUGCAAGUCGAGCGGUAGGUGGCUUCGGCCAUUGAGAGCGGCGCACGGGUGAGUAACGCGUACAUGACCUGCCUGUCAGAAGGGGAUAGCCCUGGGAAACUGGGAUUAAUACCCUAUGGUAUUGAUAUUAUGAAUGAUAUCAAUUAAAGUUGAGGCGCUGACAGAUGGAUGUGCGUCUGAUUAGCUAGUUGGUAGGGUAACGGCCUACCAAGGCGACGAUCAGUAGGGGGCGUGAGAGCGUGGUCCCCCACACGGGUACUGAGACACGGACCCGACUCCUACGGGAGGCAGCAGUAAGGAAUAUUGGUCAAUGCCCGCAAGGGUGAACCAGCCAUUCCGCGUGGAGGAUGAAGGCCCUAUGGGUUGUAAACUUCUUUUAGAUGGGAAGAAAUGCUAGAUGUAUCUGGUACUGACGGUACCAUCAGAAUAAGCACCGGCUAACUCCGUGCCAGCAGCCGC